UCGUAAAUGAUGAGAAAACAUCCUUGCUCUGCGAGUCGUUUGGCAAAUUGUUUUUCUGGAAAUUGGAAAUUUUAAACAUCGGGUUUAUUAUUUCACUUGAUUCGGAAACUCAUGGCUUCGACGGUGAACAGCGUUGGCCUCUGAUACGU
rnacentral:snoRNA from 16 species